rnacentral:lncRNA from 1 species
GGAGAUGAACUCAGAGGCAUCACGUGCGUCAUCCAACAGCCGCUGAAUGUCGGCCUCCGAUGUCACGUGACGAUUCUCCUCGAACUUAUUUCUGACCUCGGCCGCGGAAUUUUGGAGCAUCAAACCGUCGCCGGCGAAGGUUUUCCGAGUGGCCUUGGCGGAUUUUUGGAGCAUGAAACCGUCGCCGGCGAAGGUUUUCCGAGUGGCCUUCAGCACUGAUCUAUAGGCUCGAAGUGCUUCUACUGCUCUCCCGCUCGCCAUUCCUCUCUCCGUUGUUUCAAUGAGCUUAAUUGAUAACCCCGAGACUAUAAUUUCUCCUUGAAAUAGAGAAAUGUCUAUAUAUAAGAGAUUUAAUCUAUAUGAAUUGCUAGUGUAAAUCUUUUAACAUCAAAA